GAUGCCUGGCAAAGUGACGAUUCUUUCAAGACAGCGCAGGUUUACUGGUGACUUGUUUGUGCUGCCACCUCAAUGUAGUGGACUUCAAGAUACGGAUUGGUUAUGCCGCCUCUCACGCUCCUCGUACUGCAUCUGGCAUCCGUUUAAUUGCCAGCGUAAUUUUGGUCAGUGUCCUGGAGCAACAGCCUCAGAAACACCACUUUUCAUGAACUGACCUGCACUUUUGAACGACGAGUAGCACAAUCCAUGGUUUAUUCAAACAUGAACAUCAAGAAUUUCUUCUAGAGUAAUUUUCCACUUCGGCCCCGUAAGAAGUGAUCUCCCGAUGCUGCAGAGUAUACAUUCCAUAAUCCUUCCUAACAUUACUUCAUUUUACUUACUGUAGCUUUCAGGUUUUUGAUUAACUCUUUUUACUAAUGCCCUAUUAUGUACUCUGGAAAUACAGAACUAUUUAAGAGGAGAAAUUGGGAGUGAAAGAUUUUAAAGGAAACUUCACAAAGGAAAAAAUACCGUCUUAUAACCUGAUUAUUUGAACAGAUGUAGUUUUUAAAACAGGUCAGAAGAACUAUACUUAUUUAUGUGGAGUGGCAUAUGUGUUUUCGAUCAUGUUAUUAUAUAUACAAGAUUUAAAUAAAAAUUAUAUUGUUUAAAAUGGGACCAAUAUGCUGGCAGUUACACAGCUACUCCCAGUUUACUGAAAAAAUCUACAUUAUUUAAAAUCUUUCAGUAUUUAAGUAGUCUUUAAUACGGUUAUUAAGAUGUAUUAGGGGUGCUUCUAAGUUAAAAGAAAAAAAGGAAUCAUGUAUAUAAUGUACUUUAUUUUUUUCUUGUUUGAAGCAUUGUUCUCCAUCCUGUCAGUAUUAUCCUAAGCACGGUAAUUUUUCCCAAAUUACUGGCUGAAACGCAUUGAAACAUGUCAGCAGUCUCAGGACAGACAUAAGGUUCUUUUGGAGUGAGUGCCUUAACACGACCGCCCAGCCCCAGGGAGUUGGAAUUGCAGCCGGUGCAGGCCAGGGUGUGCAGGGGACUCACCGUGCCUCUGGUUCUCCGCAGCCUCCUUUGGAACAGUUCCGAGUCAGGACAUCCCGAAGCGCUUUGCAGUGAUGUAUAUUCUAGAAAAUAAAGGUUUGGGGUUUUUAUUUGUGACGUUGUUUGUUUCUUAGCUGGCUUAAUUUGAUUUCAUUAACAUCCAAACCAACUCAAAUCCUAGAAUUAGACUUUUUCCCUUUGGAUAGGAAGUUCUCAUGAUUUUUUUAAUCUACACUUCAACACAAAAUGGCUUGUGACAAGUUUGGAGAUGCAGAUUGUUCUGAAACUUUGUUUCUUAAUUUUUUUUCCCCUUCACUCACAGACUGCUAAUUUUGGGGAAGGACCAUGUUUUUGCUUACUCUCUUACUUUUAUCCAUUUCCUCUGACCUAUAGCAGGGAGGUAGGACAACCCACCCCACUGGCUGUCGGAUGCACGGGUUGUUACCAAGUGUCUAUUUGUACUGCAGCCAGAGCAGCAGGUCAUUAUUUCAAUGCACUUUUUGUUAAUUUUGGAGAAGUUACUCUUGCCAUUUGCUGUUUGAAGAAGCAAUGGGUGUUUCUUUACUGAAUCCUCAACUUAAAAUGUACUUAGUAUUAGAAGAACUGUAGGAACAGUUCCAAAAUAAAAAGAACACAUAGGCCAAGGUCCUUGCUUUGGCUGCAUCAUUGGCUCUGCUCAGCAGAACUGCAGCAAUCUCAGAGCCUGUUCAGGAUCCCAGCCCAGGCUUACAGUCACUGUAAACAUUAAAGAUGUGUAGCAGAGCAGCUAAGGGCAUUUACACUGUGCACUGUUUUCCACUGAAAUGUAU
ensembl:lncRNA